rnacentral:rRNA from 1 species
UACAGAGGGGGCAAGCGUUGUUCGGAAUUACUGGGCGUAAAGGGCGCGUAGGCGGCCAGCACAAGUCAGUUGUGAAAUCUCCGAGCUUAACUCGGAAAGGUCAACUGAUACUGUGCGGCUAGAGUGCGGAAGGGGCAACUGGAAUUCUUGGUGUAGCGGUGAAAUGCGUAGAUAUCAAGAGGAACACCUGCGGCGAAGGCGGGUUGCUGGGCCGACACUGACGCUGAGGCGCGAAAGCCAGGGGAGCGAACGGG